rnacentral:rRNA from 1 species
GCCUAAUACAUGCAAGUCGGACGGGAUUCAAUAGCUUGCUAUUGAUGAGAGUGGCGCACGGGUGCGUAACGCGUGAGCAACCUGCCCAUUUCAGGGGGAUAGCCCGGAGAAAUCCGGAUUAAUACCGCAUAUGAUCACAUUACCGCAUGGUAGGGUGAUGAAAUAUUCAUAGGAAAUGGAUGGGCUCGCGUGACAUUAGCUAGUUGGUAGGGUAACGGCCUACCAAGGCGACGAUGUCUAGGGGCUCUGAGAGGAGAAUCCCCCACACUGGUACUGAGACACGGACCAGACUCCUACGGGAGGCAGCAGUAAGGAAUAUUGGUCAAUGGGGGAAACCCUGAACCAGCCAUGCCGCGUGCAGGAAGACGGCCCUACGGGUUGUAAACUGCUUUUGCACGGGAAUAACCCUCAUUAUGUAUAAUGAGCUGAAUGUACCGUGAGAAUAAGGAUCGGCUAACUCCGUGCCAGCAGCCGCGGUAAUACGGAGGAUCCGAGCGUUAUCCGGAAUUAUUGGGUUUAAAGGGUGCGCAGGCGGGGAUCUAAGUCAGGGGUGAAAGACGGUGGCUCAACCAUCGCAGUGCCUUUGAUACUGGAUUCCUUGAAUAUACCUGAGGUAGGCGGAAUGUGGCAAGUAGCGGUGAAAUGCAUAGAUAUGCCACAGAACACCGAUUGCGAAGGCAGCUUACCAAAGUAAGAUUGACGCUGAGGCACGAAAGCGUGGGGAUCGAACAGGAUUAGAUACCCUGGUAGUCCACGCCCUAAACGAUGAACACUCGAUGUC